UACGUAGGGUGCGAGCGUUAAUCGGAAUUACUGGGCGUAAAGCGUGCGUAGACGGUUGCGUAAGUCGGAUGUGAAAUCCCCGGGCUCAACCUGGGAAUUGCAUUCGAGACUGCGUAGCUGGGGUGCGGAAGAGGGAAGCGGAAUUUCCGGUGUAGCGGUGAAAUGCGUAGAUAUCGGAAGGAACAUCAGUGGCGAAAGCGGCUUCCUGGUCCAGCACCGACGUUCAGGCACGAAAGCGUGGGGAGCAAACAGG
rnacentral:rRNA from 1 species